rnacentral:rRNA from 1 species
GCUUGUCUCAAAGAUUAAGCCAUGCAUGUCUAAGUAUAAAUGGUAUACAGUGAAACUGCGAAUGGCUCAUUAAAACAGUUAUAGUUUAUUUGGUAUUCGAAUUUACAUGGAUAACCGUGGUAAUUCUAGAGCUAAUACAUGCAAUAAGACCUGACUUCACGGAAAGGUUGUAUUUAUUAGAUAUCAAACCAAUAUUCCUUGUGUCUAUUGUGAUGAUUCAUAAUAACUGAUCGAAGCUUGGCUAUGCUAAGCUAAAUCAUUCAAGUUUCUGCCCUAUCAGCUUUCGAUGGUAGUGUAUUGGACUACCAUGGCAGUCACGGGUAACGGGGAAUUAGGGUUCGAUUCCGGAGAGGGAGCCUGAGAAACGGCUACCACAUCUAAGGAAGGCAGCAGG